rnacentral:rRNA from 1 species
UACGUAGGGUGCAAGCGUUAAUCGGAAUUACUGGGCGUAAAGCGUGCGCAGGCGGCUUUGCAAGUCAGAUGUGAAAUCCCCGGGCUUAACCUGGGAACUGCAUUUGGGACUGCAUGGCUGGAGUGCGGCAGAGGGGGAUGGAAUUCCGCGUGUAGCAGUGAAAUGCGUAGAUAUGCGGAGGAACACCGAUGGCGAAGGCAAUCCCCUGGGCCUGCACUGACGCUCAUGCACGAAAGCGUGGGGAGCAAACAGG